GAAGGAUCAUUUGCCUCUCCAGUAGCCUCUGACCAGCUGCCUUGGAGCCAUCAGGAUGCCUCUGCCUUCUCUCCCAGCAGCUAUUUUGUCUCAUAUGAUAGCUAUAAACAAUGUGCCGCCUCCUCCACUUCGCAGUUUACCAAAGUUGAAAAUGUCUAAGUACAUUGAUUAUGGUCAGUUGAAUGCAUUGUGCCAUAUGAGAGGACUACAAUCUAGCCAGAGUUCUUACAGUAUCCUGUCAGCUCACAAUAUGUUUAUAAAGCAAUAUCCUAAAAUAUUCCUGAAGAAAAAAACCAGACUGCCUACACUCUUCAAACAAGAGGAAAAAAGAGAACCUACUGAAGGCACCGAAGAACUUCAACCCCAACAACCUGAUGAUUCUCACAAUAUAGCUAUCCAUGUUAAAAAAGCACGUGGUGGCCCUACUUUAUAUGAACCAAAAAAAUUUGAAGAGAAGUUAGUGGAAUUCCUGGAUAUUUUAAAGAAAUUGCCCAUUUACAGGACAUUGCGUGAACACAGAACUGUGUGGAAGAUGCUGAAAACAAUUCCAGAUUUGACCUCUCAGCUAACUGAUGAGCAUCUGAAAACACUUAGUAGGAGUGUCAUUUCUGAAACCUGGGUAAAAGGCAGCACAGUGGUUGGAAAUGAUGGAUUUUAUAUAAUACUAAAAGGUUCAGCUCGACCUCAAACAAAGGCAUAUAAAGAUCUGAUUGACGAAAAUGAGUCAGCAUCCUCUUUCAUACCUCAGAGUUUCCAAGGAUUUGUUUCCAACGAAGACUUCAAAAACAUACUUGCUGAGAUGCACACACCUUCAUGUGAUCCAAUGAAUUCACAAUGGAGAGGAUUCAUUUUGGCACUGAGCUAUGCUGGCCUGGGGAAUGAGGUGACACAGCUUCGACAAUGGAGUACCUUUGGAACCCUGGAAGUUACAACUCAGACUGAAUCAGACACAAAGGAGUACUCAGUGAUCACAGAAGAAGAUUGUGAAAUUCUUAAAAUCCCAGCAAAGGAUUAUGUGAGGUUAAAAUCGGAAAACAUAAAGCUUGAAAAUAAAGAAAAGAUGAAAUUAAUUCAUAAAUGUCCAUAUUAUGAGGAGUGGCCGACUUUAUCCAUAUGUGAGCUAGUUGCACUCAUUAAAUGGAAAAAAUUUCCUCCAGGUCAUGUGAUAGUGGAAAGUGGGAAGAUAAUUUCUUUUGUGGCUUAUAUUAAUUCUGGAUAUUGUAAUAUUUAUAGAAAUAUUGUAGGACUUAUGAAACUACAACCAAAAAAAGUGAAAAAAAAUCAAAAACUUGUUUGUAUGGGCAAACUUAAUGAGAAGGAAUCCUUUGGUGAGAUUAGUGUUCUUCUUCAAGUUCCUUUCACAUGCACAAUAGUUACUGGAAAAGAGGUUGAGAUGGCAAUCAUUGAAGAUAAGGACCUAUUUGAAUUAGACCCAGUGACCAAGCAACUUAUGCUCCAUACAGCUAAACCAACUUUUGGUCAUCUGAAAGAUGAGGAUGUUAAAAAUGUAUAUUUGGAAAGGGAACAAAAAAAGGAAUGGAAAAAUUUCAAGGUGAAACUAGUCGUCAUAGCUGGACUUUUCUGAUGCUGAGCUUGACCAUUUUUCAACUGCUGCUUUUGAUAAAAGACAUAAUCAUCUGGGAAAUAUAAAUGCAGUUUCUGGAGAGAGCUGAGUCCUUCUGAGAAUGAUUGCCUGGAUAAAACAAUGAAAAACUCCUUGUAUUAUAAUGGAAUUAUUCCAGGCUUUGGAAAAUGGGACCAUUGCUGGACCAGCAUUCCUAGGAAUCUCAAGGAUACUCUAAUCAGUUAUUAAAAAUGUCAACUUAUAAGAAAUUGGGAAUUUCAGCAUGGA